rnacentral:rRNA from 1 species
UACGUAGGGGGCAAGCGUUGUCCGGAAUUAUUGGGCGUAAAGAGCGUGUAGGCGGUCCGGUAAGUCAGCUGUGAAAGUCAAGGGCUCAACCCUUGAAAGCCGGUUGAUACUGUCGGGCUAGAGUCCGGAAGAGGCGAGUGGAAUUCCCGGUGUAGCGGUGAAAUGCGCAGAUAUCGGGAGGAACACCAAUGGCGAAGGCAGCUCGCUGGGACGUGACUGACGCUGAGACGCGAAAGCGUGGGGAGCAAACAGG